GAAAGUAGGACGAGCAGGACGAUGAGAAAAGUAUUUCAAGUAAAAAUGUUGACAGAAAAACAGAGAGUGGAAGAAGAAGUGAUGACAGAUAUGAAGAUCCAAGUGUGAUUGAAGACAGUGAUAAACUCUGCAGGAAGAGACAAAGAUGAAGGCCUUCCAGCUCGCUGCUGUCCUCCUGCUCGUCUGCAUCGGCAGCGCAGAGGCUCUGACGUGUAACCGCUGUAUUGGUUUAUCUUGCCGCACCAGUGACGAACGCUGCAGCCCUUCACUCGAUGUCUGUGGCAAAGUCUUCUGUGUGACAUCAUUCAGGACCUUGUAUUUCAGGAGGUGCAUGAAGACAGGGGACGACAUAAUUCUCCGGACCCUUCUUAACUGUGAAGUCUAUACAUGUUACACUGACCGCUGCAACUGAGAUGACGAUCUGAAACCUCAACAUGUCUGCAGAAAUAACUCGAUUCUAAUCAUUGGUGAUGUAAUAUUAUAAAGAGUCCGGUCUAGACCUGCUCUGCAUGAAAAGUGUCACUUGUAUGAUUUGGCACUAUAUAAAUAAAAUUUAAAUGAAUUGA